rnacentral:rRNA from 1 species
GAUGAACGCUGGCGGCGUGCCUAAUACAUGCAAGUCGAGCGAACGGACGAGAAGCUUGCUUCUCUGAUGUUAGCGGCGGACGGGUGAGUAACACGUGGAUAACCUACCUAUAAGACUGGGAUAACUUCGGGAAACCGGAGCUAAUACCGGAUAAUAUUUUGAACCGCAUGGUUCAAAAGUGAAAGACGGUCUUGCUGUCACUUAUAGAUGGAUCCGCGCUGCAUUAGCUAGUUGGUAAGGUAACGGCUUACCAAGGCAACGAUGCAUAGCCGACCUGAGAGGGUGAUCGGCCACACUGGAACUGAGACACGGUCCAGACUCCUACGGGAGACAGCAGUAGGGAAUCUUCCGCAAUGGGCGAAAGCCUGACGGAGCAACGCCGCGUGAGUGAUGAAGGUCUUCGGAUCGUAAAACUCUGUUAUUAGGGAAGAACAUAUGUGUAAGUAACUGUGCACAUCUUGACGGUACCUAAUCAGAAAGCCACGGCUAACUACGUGCCAGCAGCCGCGGUAAUACGUAGGUGGCAAGCGUUAUCCGGAAUUAUUGGGCGUAAAGCGCGCGUAGGCGGUUUUUUAAGUCUGAUGUGAAAGCCCACGGCUCAACCGUGGAGGGUCAUUGGAAACUGGAAAACUUGAGUGCAGAAGAGGAAAGUGGAAUUCCAUGUGUAGCGGUGAAAUGCGCAGAGAUAUGGAGGAACACCAGUGGCGAAGGCGACUUUCUGGUCUGUAACUGACGCUGAUGUGCGAAAGCGUGGGGAUCAAACAGGAUUAGAUACCCUGGUAGUCCACGCCGUAAACGAUGAGUGCUAAGUGUUGGUCUCAUAAGAGAUCAGUGCUGCAGCUAACGCAUUAAGCACUCCGCCUGGGGAGUACGACCGCAAGGUUGAAACUCAAAGGAAUUGACGGGGACCCGCACAAGCGGUGGAGCAUGUGGUUUAAUUCGAAGCAACGCGAAGAACCUUACCAAGUCUUGACAUACUGUGAGGACACAAGAGACUGUGUUGUUCUGACCUUUGGUUAGACACAGAUACAGGUGGUGCAUGGUUGUCGUCAGCUCGUGUCGUGAGAUGUUGGGUUAAGUCCCGCAACGAGCGCAACCCUUAUAUCUAGUUGCCAGCAGUAAGAUGGGGACUCUAGAUAGACUGCCAGUGAUAAACUGGAGGAAGGUGGGGAUGACGUCAAAUCAUCAUGCCCCUUAUGACUUGGGCUACACACGUGCUACAAUGGAUAGGAACAAAGAGAAGCGAGCUCGCGAGAGUAAGCAAACCUCACAAAACUAUUCUCAGUUCGGAUUGUAGUCUGCAACUCGACUACAUGAAGCUGGAAUCGCUAGUAAUCGCGAAUCAGAAUGUCGCGGUGAAUACGUUCCCGGGUCU